GUCGAACGUGAAAGCACUUCGGUGUGAGUAGAGUGGCGGACGGGUGAGUAACGCGUGGGAAUCUACCCAGUAGUGGGGGACAACUACCGGAAACGGUAGCUAAUACCGCAUACGCCCUAUGGGGGAAAGGCUUCGGCCGCUAUUGGAUGAGCCCGCGUCAGAUUAGCUAGUUGGUAGGGUAAAGGCCUACCAAGGCAACGAUCUGUAGCUGGUCUGAGAGGACGAACAGCCACACUGGGACUGAGACACGGCCCAGACUCCUACGGGAGGCAGCAGUGGGGAAUAUUGGACAAUGGGCGAAAGCCUGAUCCAGCAAUGCCGCGUGUGUGAAGAAGGCCUGCGGGUUGUAAAGCACUUUCAGUUGGGAAGAUGAUGACGUUACCAACAGAAGAAGCACCGGCUAAAUCCGUGCCAGCAGCCGCGGUAAUACGGAUGGUGCGAGCGUUAAUCGGAAUUACUGGGCGUAAAGCGCGCGUAGGCGGCUAAGUCAGUCAGAAGUGAAAGCCCCGGGCUCAACCUGGGAAUUGCUUUUGAUACUGCUUAGCUAGAGUUUGGUAGAGGAUAGUGGAAUUCCAGGUGUAGCGGUGAAAUGCGUAGAUAUCUGGAGGAACAUCAGUGGCGAAGGCGACUGUCUGGACCAAAACUGACGCUGAGGUGCGAAAGCGUGGGUAGCAAACAGGAUUAGAUACCCUGGUAGUCCACGCCGUAAACGAUGUCAACUAGCCGUCGGGUCUAUUUACAGACUUGGUGGCGAAGCUAACGCGAUAAGUUGACCGCCUGGGGAGUACGGCCGCAAGGUUAAAACUCAAAGGAAUUGACGGGGGCCCGCACAAGCGGUGGA
rnacentral:rRNA from 1 species